AUGGCGACAUGCUGGCUGCUGCUCCUCCUCUGGGCGUUCCUCUGGCCGGCGGCCAGCGCGGUGCCGUGUCACCCCGACGACCUUCACGCGCUGCGGGGCUUCGCCGGAGACCUCAGCGGCGGGGGCGUCCUGCUCCGCACCGCAUGGUCCGGCGCCUCGUGCUGCAGCUGGGAAGGUGUGGGCUGCGAUAGCGCCAGCGGUCGCGUCACGGUGCUGCGGCUCCCCUCGCGCGGCCUCACGGGCCCCAUCCCAGGAGCCUCUCUAGCGGGCCUCGUGUGGCUGGAGUCGCUCAACCUUGCCAACAACACAUUGGUUGGCACCAUCCCGUCGUGGAUUGGUGAGUUUGACCACCUUUGGUACUUGAAUCUCUCAAAUAAUUCAUUCGUUGGUGAGGUACCCAAAAGUUUGUUACGGCUCAAGGGCCUCGCCACCGCGGGUCGUUCAUUGGGUAUGGUUUUCAUUAACAUGCUAUUGUAUGUAAAUGACAAAAGAAGAGCACUCGAUGAACAACCAAAUACCAUAACUGGAAGCAACAACACUGUGAGAUCUGGGCGCAACAACAGCAUGUCUGGGAAUGAUAAUACUGUCAUAUCCGGAGACAACAAUGCUGUCUCUGGGAGCUUCAACACCCUUGUAUGUGGGGACAACAAUGUUCUAACUGGUGAUCACCAUGUCGUAUCCGGGAGCAACCAUAUUGUAACUAACAGCUACAAUAAAGUAUCUGGCUGCACCAAUAAUGUAUCCGGGAGCCACCAUACUGUAUCCGGUAGCAACAAUGCCGUAUCUGGGAGCAACAAUACGGUAUCUGGGAGCAAUCAUGUCGUAUCCGGGAGCAACAAAAUCGUAACUGACGAUUAA
rnacentral:rRNA from 1 species